GUAACUUUUUUAUUAUUAAAUCUAUCAGUCAGCCUUCAAACAUUUGCUGUUCUCUGCUAUGUUAGUGCUUCUCCCAGCAGAGAACUUUAACUGUGUGUCUUCUUCUCUCCAAAGCUUGACAAACAAGAGGAUUGACAAACACUGACAGAUCAGAGUGAUCUGGGGUGAAACUGGUGUGCACUCAAAGGGAGGGACUCAGGAAGAGAAAAAGGUGCUAAAGAGGUGAAUUCAUCACUCUAACUCAAAGCUAAAGCCCUAAAAUUGUCUUGGCAUAAACAAUACUGCCGGAAACCAAGGGCUGGGUCAGCUGGAGGAGCUCUGUUGGCCACAGUGAUGGCCUCAGAGGGAGAGCAACUGCCUCACUGGCUUGUGUGUGCAGGAUGCCGGCAAUGUAGACGGGAUGUUGCUCUGUGUUACUCUCACCUUGGCCUGUGGAGCCCCCACCUCAGAGGGGGAGCCCCUGUCCUGCCUGGCACAGUGCCCACUGCAGGGCUAAUAGGCCAGCUGAUCCCCUCUUGAAUGUCCCAACCUGGCCCCCAUCACCCAUCACGUACAGACUAGAAGACGUGGGACUCAGCAUCUGUAGCCUCUGAGGUGAGAAGACGGUCCCUGCCCAUGCAGCCACGGUCACAGAGGCAUGGAGACUGUGUGCCUUUCAGACUCAGGACACAGUAUGCACUUGGUGAGUGGUGAUUGCUCUGGUUUGAGUUUUCUUCACCCCACUGAUGGAUUGAUGUGACCUUCCUACGUUUGCCUCUCUGGCCUGCCACACAGUGGUGUAAAGGCCUAGGGGAAAAGAGAUGCAGCUAAAUAAAUAAGGCCCAGCCCUGUGACGGCCAGCAUCCUGUGCAUACUCGGUCCUGCUCAUGGGACCAAUGCAGCAAUGGAAAGAAUCCAGGCUCCAGGAUGGAGUCAGUUUGGAAAAGCACAUGCGUUUCAUUUUUCAAGUGGAAUUUGAAAGCACACCACACCAAGCCCUAACCCUAAGCCUAGGCACAGCAAAGCACAUUGUACUGCCUUCACCAGACAGCACUGCUUCGCCCCCUCCUACCUCACACCCCGUGAUGACCCCUGAGCUCAGGGUGAUCUGCCAGUCAGCCUAAGGGCAGCAAGGAGUGAGCCACGUGGAGGACCCCUCAUCUGUAUCCUCCUGGCUGUGUGCUGCAGAGGCAAAGUUUCUUUCUGUUCUCUGUACUCCAAAAGCACGAGAACAGGAGAAAAUGUUUGGCUGGGCAUUCUUUAAUAAAACAAAAUAAACUCGGCUACAAGUCGUUUUGAAACUGCUCUCCAGGGAGCAACUGCCUGCCUGUGACACACUCUCAUGAGACUCAUGCUGUUAAAAGGAGGUUUAAAAUUCCCACCCUACAGUAAAUGCACUCUUCAAUCACUGUGUAGUGAAGACAUGGCCGGAGAGCCGCCAUACAAACCCACUGCCCAAUCAUAGGAACUCUCGCCCUCUUCCCUUCCCACCACCGCCUUUCAAUCACACUAUACUUCCCUUAGGUUGAGGGCCUUUGUUUUUUUUUUUUGUUGUUGUUGUUUUCUGAUGCAUUUGAGCGCAGCUGACUCCCUGCACUUUGGACAGUUGCGCGCCAUUCAGCACAAAUCACCCGGUCACAGCAACUGCCACCAACUUGACCCAUUUCCAGAAGUAACAGGACACCAGCCUCACCACCUGACAGUACUGGGCCUCUGAUAGCCUUCUCAUCCUUCCAGAGAAGGAGGGGAGAAGGAGGAAACACCUCCUGAUCACCCAGCCCGCUGCUCUUCUGCCGCUGCACCCUUUCCAUCCGGCCACAGGGCCACCUACGACAGGUGACUGUUCCAACCUCUUCUGCAAUUCCAUGAGAAGGUUUGAGGCUUCAGCAUAUGAAUGGAGGGUCGCAAACCUUGAGUCUAUAACAAAUGUGGAGAGUGCUCAGACUGAGCUCUGUGCAGCCCUUCUUUGGGCCCAUUGAAGUUUGGUCACUCCUCUCAGCUGCCCUGGACCCUGGCUCUCAUCUCCUCCUUGUUGCUAGAUCAAGUCCUUGAUACCAUCAGCUACUGUUGGCAAAGGGCCCUGCUCCCCCAAGGGGCCUGAGGAACUGAGGCCAAGGCAGGAUGACCUCAAAGACCUUUUGUUCUUCUGCUCUGGAUGCUUGGUGAUCACUGCGUGAACAGAACUCAAGGACAAAGGCCUGGACAGGACAGCCCUGGCUGAGCACUCGGGUGUGGAGGACACAUACCUUUCUCAAGAUGCCAGGACUCGGGCUGCUUGCUGUGUCAUUUUGGCACUGACCCCCUGGGCUCCUUUCCCUGCUACACUCCCAUCUGCUUCUGUCUUAAAUGGAAACAGCGAAUCUCCUGGGGGGACUGCGGAAAGUUCUUGUCUCAAGCACCCGCAAUGAUGAAGUGUGUGCUGUUCACGGAGCAUUGUAGACCAUGGAAACUGGAGCCAUCAUAGCUCAGAUGAGGCUUGGACCUGGCCUUGGACCAAGGAGAGGGGUUAUUGCACACUCUGCUCCAAAACAGGGUGUUCUGUUUUAUGCAUGUGCGUGUAGUGGUGUGCACCCAAAAUCCCAGCACUCUGAGGGGCUAUGGCAGGAGGACUGCAAGUUUAAGCCCAACCUGGGCAA